GACGAACGCUGGCGGCGUGCUUAACACAUGCAAGUCGAACGGACAGGCCCUGCUCUUGUGGGGUGCUCGAUUGGCGAACGGGUGAGUAACACGCGAGUAUCCUGCCCUUGACUUUGGGAUAACUUCAGGAAACUGGGGCUAAUAUCGGAUAGGAGCUCCUGCUGCAUGGUGGGGGUUGGAAAGUUUCGGCGGUUGGGGAUGGACUCGCUGCUUAUCGGCUUGUUUGCGGAGUAGUGGCUUACCAAGGCUUUGACGGGUAGCCGGCCUGGGAGGGGGACCGGCCUCAUUGGGACUAAGAUACGGCCCAGUCUCCUACGGGAGGCAACAGUGGGGAAUAUUGCGCAAUGGGCGGAAGCCUGAUGCAGCGACGCCGCGUGCGGGAUGACGGGCUUCGGGUUAUAAACCGCUUUCGCCUGUGACGAAGCGUGAGUGACGGUAAUGAGUAAAGAAGCACCGGCUAACUACGUG
rnacentral:rRNA from 1 species